rnacentral:ncRNA from 2 species
CCACCAUCCAGAGCGGCCGAGAGUCCUGGCUCGACGACGCCGCAGCAACCCCCCAACGGAAGCCUCCCGAGGGGAAGGGUGCUAACGCCAGGUCCGAUGGAGA